rnacentral:rRNA from 1 species
CCUUGUCUACGGGGCGCAGCAGUGGGGAAUAUUGCACAAUGGGGGGAACCCUGAUGCAGCGACGCCGCGUGGGUGAAGGAGCACCUCGGUGCGUAAAGCCCUAUCGGCAGGGAAGAAACAGACGGUACCUGACUAAGAAGCCCCGGCUAACUACGUGCCAGCAGCCGCGGUAAUACGUAGGGGGCAAGCGUUAUCCGGAUUCACUGGGUGUAAAGGGAGCGUAGACGGCGACGCAAGUCUGGAGUGAAAGUCCGGGGCCCAACACCGGGACUGCUCUGGCAACUGCGGCGCUGGAGUACGGGAGG